GAUGCAACUUCAUGAGGUGAGACAAAGAAGAACUACUGGGAAAAGAAAAAACACCAGUGAACUGAACAGCUAUUGGAAUUUCUAGAGGGCUGGAAGGUGAUUUCGUUGCAACCAACCAGAAUGGAGGUGUUUCCUGUUGGUGCAGAAAGAUGGAUCACAACGGGGUCUGAGCUAAGCAAUCAGUGCAGGGGAUCAAGAAUGGGGUAGUGAGCUAUAAAAGAACUUUGUCAUUUCAUGAAUUCUGGAAACUCAAAAGGCCCACCUGAUGAUGGCCCUGCCCUUGAAGCAGCAACAUUGCCCCCAAGGUCCUGGAUGGCAGCCACAUUCCUGAGUCCCUGGGGAGCAGCAGCUUGGCCUGCUGAAACUGAGGAGUUGGCCCUGCUUUCUAGAACUGAAGAGGAGGCAGCCUUGCUUUCUGGAUUAUUCUCCCCACUUCUUGAAGGAUAAUGUAUGUUCACAGCCAAUAGCUCUAUUGUCUUGUUCUGUAGCAUUCCAGAAGUUCAACAAUUUUACUUCAUUUCAACUCUUCUCUGUUCCUUUCAGUUCAAGCUGGUAACAUUUCUGCUGAUUUG